AUUGAACGCUGGCGGCAUGCCUUACACAUGCAAGUCGAACGGUAACAGAUCUUCGGAUGCUGACGAGUGGCGAACGGGUGAGUAAUACAUCGGAACGUGCCUAGUAGUGGGGGAUAACUACUCGAAAGAGUGGCUAAUACCGCAUGAGAUCUACGGAUGAAAGCAGGGGAUCGCAAGACCUUGUGCUACUAGAGCGGCCGAUGGCAGAUUAGGUAGUUGGUGGGAUAAAAGCUUACCAGGCCGACGAUCUGUAGCUGGUCUGAGAGGACGAUCAGCCACACUGGGACUGAGACACGGCCCAGACUCCUACGGGAGGCAGCAGUGGGGAAUUUUGGACAAUGGGCGCAAGCCUGAUCCAGCAAUGCCGCGUGCAGGAUGAAGGCCUUCGGGUUGUAAACUGCUUUUGUACGGAACGAAAAGCCCUGGGUUAAUACCCUGGGGUCAUGACGGUACCGUAAGAAUAAGCACCGGCUAACUACGUGCCAGCCGCCGCGGUAAGAC
rnacentral:rRNA from 1 species